UACGAAGGGGGCUAGCGUUGCUCGGAAUGACUGGGCGUAAAGGGCGCGUAGGCGGAUGGCACAGUCAGAUGUGAAAUUCCCGGGCUUAACCUGGGGGCUGCAUUUGAUACGUGUUGUCUAGAGUGAGGAAGAGGGUUGUGGAAUUCCCAGUGUAGAGGUGAAAUUCGUAGAUAUUGGGAAGAACACCGGUGGCGAAGGCGGGUCUCUGGGCCGAUACUGACGCUGAGGAGCGAAAGCGUGGGGAGCAAACAGG
rnacentral:rRNA from 1 species